UUGUAAGAAAUAAUAUAUUAUAUUUAGUUUCGACCUAUAUCUUAGAUUUUAAAAAUCCUUACAAU
rnacentral:tRNA from 1 species